UACAGGGGGUGCAAACGUUGCUCGGAAUUAUUGGGCGUAAAGCGCGCGUAGGCGGCUACUUAAGUCGGAUGUGAAAGCCCUUGGCUCAACUGAGGAAGUGCACCCGAAACUGAGUGGCUUGAGUACAAAAGAGGGUCGCGGAAUUCCCGGUGUAGAGGUGAAAUUCGUAGAUAUGGGAGAACACCGGUGGCGAAGGCGGCGACC
rnacentral:rRNA from 1 species